ACUUGGACUUGGGCGUCUUGCCAGCUUUGCCUGGCUCGCCUUAAUGGUGUCAGUGGGACUUUGCUUCCGAUCAUCAGACGUAAUAAGUUUCGUCUGUUUGGGAGGUGAGGGCUUGCUUACAACCCCCGUGCUUUGGCACAACUUUUUUCGAUCUGACCUCAAAUCAGGUAGGGCUACCCGCUGAACUUAAGCAUAUCAAUAAGCGGAGGAAAAGAAACUAACAAGGAUUCCCCUAGUAACGGCGAGUGAACAGGGAAGAGCUCAAAUUUGAAAUCUGGCGUGCUCAGUGCGUCCGAGUUGUAAUCUAUAGAGUCGUUUUCCGUGCCGGACCGUGUCCAAGUUCCUUGGAACAGGAUAUCAAAGAGGGUGACAAUCCCGUACUUGACACGACCACCGGUGCUCUGUGAUACGUCUUCUACGAGUCGAGUUGUUUGGGAAUGCAGCUCAAAAUGGGUGGUGAGUUCCAUCUAAAGCUAAAUAUUGGCGAGAGACCGAUAGCGAACAAGUACCGUGAGGGAAAGAUGAAAAGCACUUUGGAAAGAGAGUUAAACAGUACGUGAAAUUGUUGAAAGGGAAACGAUUGAAGUCAGUCGUGUCCGAGAGGCUCAGCCGGUUCUGCCGGUGUAUUCCUCUCGGAUGGGUCAACAUCAGUUUUGUCCGGUGGAUAAGGGCGGCAGGAAUGUAUCACCCCAGGGUGUGUUAUAGCCUGCCGUCGCAUACAUCGGGUGAGACUGAGGAAUGCAGCUCGCCUUUAUUGGCCGGGGUUCGCCCACGUCCGAGCUUAGGAUGUUGACGUAAUGGCUUUAAACGACCCGU
rnacentral:rRNA from 1 species